rnacentral:rRNA from 1 species
CCUACGGGAGGCUGCAGUGGGGAAUAUUGGACAAUGGGGGGAACCCAGAUCCAGCCAUGCCGCGUGUGUGAAGAAGGCCCUCGGGUUGUAAAGCACUUUCAGUGAGGAAGAACGCCUGGUGGUUAAUACCCAUCAGGAAAGACAUCACUCACAGAAGAAGCACCGGCUAACUCCGUGCCAGCAGCCGCGGUAAUACGGAGGGUGCGAGCGUUAAUCGGAAUUACUGGGCGUAAAGCGCGCGUAGGUGGCUUGAUAAGCCGGUUGUGAAAGCCCCGGGCUCAACCUGGGAACGGCAUCCGGAACUGUCAAGCUAGAGUGCAGGAGAGGAAGGUAGAAUUCCCGGUGUAGCGGUGAAAUGCGUAGAGAUCGGGAGGAAUACCAGUGGCGAAGGCGGCCUUCUGGACUGACACUGACACUGAGGUGCGAAAGCGUGGGUAGCAAACAGGAUUAGAUACCCUAGUAGUC